UUAGGUUUCCUCUUAUUCAUCC
rnacentral:miRNA from 1 species